GACAGGUGGAAGUGAGCAAUGCCGCGACAAGAGACUGCCUGGUUCUCGUUUGAAUCGAAGUACUUUCGCGUGUGCAGAAACAUUUUGAUGCCGGAGACAUUAUUCGUGCGGACGUGUGUACAGUGAAUGGAAACGUUGUGUCACUGCCACGCGAUCGACCCAAACUGGUAGAAGACGCCAUUCCGAGGAUUUUGCAAGGCGUACCUGUGUACUUGUCUAAGCCCAAAGAGCGUUCGCAUGCACCGACACGGCGCCCAUCUGCAAAAAGGCGGCGAGAGGUAUCUUCAAACUGCGCUGAAGCCGAAGUUGCGGCCGUAGCACCUGCAGACGUUACCAAUGCAGCCGAAGAAGAAAUUCACGAUGAAGUACGAACUGUGAAUCGCCUUGGCGGUGCUGAUGCAGAGUGCCUAACAGAGCACGCCGUUUGCUUUGCCUCAGGGCUGCAAAGGGUGAAGGCCCAACUUCGCAGUGUGGAGUAACAACUUCAUUCAUGGCAGCGGAAGCUCGCAAAAGCGGAGGCGCAGGAAAAUGAAUAACGUGGCAUGCAGGAAACCAUUCAGAAGCUAUCGGGCCGCGAGAAGCUCAUUAUAGAUCAGUGCAUCAUGAAGGCAAACAUGAACAAGAUAUUUGUGUUUCAGAUUGAUACCCUGGCUGUUCUUUUGGACGAUAUACUUCUGGAGCCGGCUGAGUGCAUGCAAGAUAUCAAUCAUCCGGAGUCAACGAAGGACUGCAUUUUGGACUACCUUGGUGGCUAGAUUGCAAGAAAGUUUGCUAAAAUAAGCUGCAAUGACUGCCUCCAAACACUGAGGAGCAGCUCCCGAAAGCCAAGUGCACUGACCGAAAUAAAGACUAGGGGAUUU